GCCGGCCCUCGAGGACCGACUUUGGACACCCCUGGAUCCAAACAAAGAAAUUCGCCAAAAAAAGGAAACCAAGAGCCCUCUCGUUAUGAGACGGCAGCCGAAAAAUAAAAACGUCUUCAUGAUGCCGGAGUUCGCCUGCCGACUGUUUAUCAGGAAAAACGGAGAUGCCUGCGAGGCCGGGGUGGAAACAGAAAA